ACCCGAUGCAAACUGCGAAUACCGGAGAAUGUUAUCACGGGAGACACACGGCGGGUGCUAACGUCCGUCGUGAAGAGGGAAACAACCCAGACCGCCAGCUAAGGUCCCAAAGUCAUGGUUAAGUGGGAAACGAUGUGGGAAGGCCCAGACAGCCAGGAUGUUGGCUUAGAAGCAGCCAUCAUUUAAAGAAAGCGUAAUAGCUCACUGGUCGAGUCGGCCUGCGCGGAAGAUGUAACGGGGCUAAACCAUGCACCGAAGCUGCGGCAGCGACGCUUAUGCGUUGUUGGGUAGGGGAGCGUUCUGUAAGCCUGCGAAGGUGUGCUGUGAGGCAUGCUGGAGGUAUCAGAAGUGCGAAUGCUGACAUAAGUAACGAUAAAGCGGGUGAAAAGCCCGCUCGCCGGAAGACCAAGGGUUCCUGUCCAACGUUAAUCGGGGCAGGGUGAGUCGACCCCUAAGGCGAGGCCGAAAGGCGUAGUCGAUGGGAAACAGGUUAAUAUUCCUGUACUUGGUGUUACUGCGAAGGGGGGACGGAGAAGGCUAUGUUGGCCGGGCGACGGUUGUCCCGGUUUAAGCGUGUAGGCUGGUUUUCCAGGCAAAUCCGGAAAAUCAAGGCUGAGGCGUGAUGACGAGGCACUACGGUGCUGAAGCAACAAAUGCCCUGCUUCCAGGAAAAGCCUCUAAGCAUCAGGUAACAUCAAAUCGUACCCCAAACCGACACAGGUGGUCAGGUAGAGAAUACCAAGGCGCUUGAGAGAACUCGGGUGAAGGAACUAGGCAAAAUGGUGCCGUAACUUCGGGAGAAGGCACGCUGAUAUGUAGGUGAAGUCCCUUGCGGAUGGAGCUGAAAUCAGUCG
rnacentral:rRNA from 1 species